rnacentral:rRNA from 1 species
UACGGAGGAUCCGAGCGUUAUCCGGAUUUAUUGGGUUUAAAGGGAGCGUAGGCGGAAGCUUAAGUCAGUUGUGAAAGUUUGCGGCUCAACCGUAAAAUUGCAGUUGAUACUGGGUUUCUUGAGUGCAGUAGAGGUAGGCGGAAUUCGUGGUGUAGCGGUGAAAUGCUUAGAUAUCACGAAGAACCCCGAUUGCGAAGGCAGCCUGCCGCAGCGUUACUGACGCUGAAGCUCGAAAGCGCGGGUAUCGAACAGG